GAGUUUGAUCAUGGCUCAGGAUGAACGCUGGCGGCGUGCCUAAUACAUGCAAGUCGAGCGAACGGACGAGAAGCUUGCUUCUCUGAUGUUAGCGGCGGACGGGUGAGUAACACGUGGAUAACCUACCUAUAAGACUGGGAUAACUUCGGGAAACCGGAGCUAAUACCGGAUAAUAUUUUGAACCGCAUGGUUCAAAAGUGAAAGACGGUCUUGCUGUCACUUAUAGAUGGAUCCGCGCUGCAUUAGCUAGUUGGUAAGGUAACGGCUUACCAAGGCAACGAUGCAUAGCCGACCUGAGAGGGUGAUCGGCCACACUGGAACUGAGACACGGUCCAGACUCCUACGGGAGGCAGCAGUAGGGAAUCUUCCGCAAUGGGCGAAAGCCUGACGGAGCAACGCCGCGUGAGUGAUGAAGGUCUUCGGAUCGUAAAACUCUGUUAUUAGGGAGAACAUAUGUGUAAGUAACUGUGCACAUCUUGACGGUACCUAAUCAGAAGGCCACGGCUAACUACG
rnacentral:rRNA from 1 species